CCUGAAUCCUCACCCCUCCCUCUUCUCUUCCUUCCCCUUCUCUUCCUUCCUCCCGGCUGCUUCUCCUUGGCUCCACCCCUUCUCCUCAUCAAUUCCUCCCACACUUCCCUGCUCUCCCUGGCUUUUCACUGGAGGGUCCCUUCUCCCAGCGGGGAGCAGAUGCUGAGCCCCAUUGUCUCUCCCCCAGUGACUGCAGCCUCCCAGGGACGGGACCUGCCACUCUUCACCCCUCCCCCCAGCCCAGAGGCCCGGGCCUUUAGAGAGUGGAGCCCCAAGGCCACUGCCCCUCGCCCCACCCUAAACCGGCUCCCGGUGUUGUGAGCAAUGACUCCAGUCGCUCAGACUGUUUCUGGCUGGGAGUGAGAAGACAGUAGCCCGAGACUGCUUCAGCCAGGGGGACACCAUGGUUUUCACAUCAGGGCACUGAGCCCGGUAUGACCCCAGCGCACUCGCCCACUAAGCCCUCUAAAUAGGAUAGAAGGGAAGCCACAUUGCUGUCAUUAUUUAUAUACUCCCCCCUCAGCGCACCUCAGCUGUGUCCUCCAAACAAAGCAAAACGCAGCUCUGAUAAUCAGACAUUCAUUUAACAAAUGCUUACUGAGUCCCUACUCUGUGCCCGCCCCAGUGCUGGAUGCUGAGGAACUGGCCAUCAGCACACGUGGCCCUCGCUUAGGCUUUGUAGACCCGCAGGGGAGGGGAAGAAGCCUGGAGGCCGGCAACCGCAAUGCCAUGAAUGAACCAAGGAGGCGCCACAGAGCAUUCUUGGAACCGGGGUGAUCAGGGAUGGCUUCCUGCGGGAGGUGACAUCGAAAAGUAGGCCUGUGCCAGGCAAACGCAUGGGAAGGUACAGCCUGUCCAAAGGCCCCAGGGCAAGAGAGCACAUUCUCACAGAUUCUUGGAAUAGCCACAAGUAUUUGCUGCAGUGUGGAGUACAGUGGGGGAGUGGGGAGUGAGGAAGGUCAGGGCACACAAGUCAGGGAGGGGCGAGUGGGGACUGUGUCAGGGCACAAGUCAGGCAGCGGGGCCCUAUCAGCGAGAUGUUCAAAUUUUAGCUUCUCCCACUUGCUAACUUCAAGAACUUGGGUGAACAACAGUCCCAGUGAAUAACUUAGACUCGGUUUCCUCACUUAUAAAACGGGGUCAAGAAGUCUUGUGCGGUGCAGAGACGGGGUCUUGUGUCUUAAGGGCGGGGGGGCUCACUGGCUGCAUAUCCUGGGCAAGUUGAUGUAAGUUUCCCAUCUGUAACAUGGGCAUGAAAACACCUGACCCCCAGCGUUGUUGUGAGGCUUAACUGAGCCCAUGCCUAGCGUCCGGUGCAUAAGUGCCAAUACCUGGUGGCUUUUAUUCAUUAUUAUUAUAAAUCGGGGAGUGACUGCCAGGGAGGUGCCCUUACAACCUGGGAAUGACUUUACGUUCUGGGCCGAAACCAAAAUGACUCACCGUGUCAGAAACGUGAUGGGCUCUCUGUGGAGGAAGCAUUCCUUCAAAGAUGGCCUGUGUCCCAGUGGGUUCACUGGGAGUGGGGAACGCCUAAAGCCUGAUCGGGAUGGCCAGGACAUCCUGGAUGUCUCGGAAAUUUCACAUCCUGGAAAUGGGAAGACUGCCGUUGCAGAGGCCUGACCUGCUCCGUGGAGUUGUGGCCUGCCUGAAGAACAAACAAGAAUUAGAAGAGGGAGGCCUCAUAAAAUCCAGGAGGGCCCCUCUGAGCAGACACCUGGCUGUGUUUGCUCAGCAAAGAGAAGUAGACACAGAAGUUCACACUGAGGGGGGGAGAGGGAGAGAAAGAGAUUAUCGACUCCUCCAGAGCCCGAAUUAAAUCUCUUAAAACCUCUCAGGCCUUUGCUUGGGUUCCUCAUUCCCCCAGCAACCUGCAGAUGAACUUGGCACCAGGAAAACGCCCCCCGGUUGGAGGCAGACACCGACGUUCCAGUUCCUGCAUUGUAAACAUUUUAUACUUCUAUUAUUUCUCUGUGACACAAGUUCAUUGUGAAAGAAUUUGAAAAUCAGCUAAGCCGAACUGAGAAAGAACCCCCUGUAGAGACAUUAUAUUUUGGUGUAUAUUCUUGGGUGUUUUAUACCCACAUAUCCACAUGUAAAUGCACAUCAUAAUAAAACUCCAAAGUCAAUCUUGUUAAACAGAUGAAUGAUUACACACGUAAAUAUGCUAUUUUUACAAAAUUAACAAAAAUGGCAUAACCCUAUACCAACUGAAUUACAACCACUUUUUAAAAAAAAUUUUCUUUAAUGUUUUAUUCUUGAGAGAGAGAGAGAGAGAGAGACAGAACACGAGUGGGGGAGGGGCAGAGUGACCAAGGGACACAGAAUCAUCGGAAGCAGGCUCUAGGCUCUGAGCUGUCGGCACAGAGCCCAAUGCGGGGCUUGAACCCACGAGCCUUGAGAUCAUGACCUGAGCCGAAGUCGGACGCCCAACUGACUGAGCGCCCCUACAACGAUACCUACCCAGAGAUAGGCCACAAAUAUCUCUCCCUGUUUAGAAACACAAGGUCACUGCUAAUGAAUGAUGCCAUUCCAUAUAUACAUAUAUGCAUGUAUCUUAAUUUGUUUAAACAAAUUAAUUGUUGCACUUAAAAAGUGGAUGUUUCCAUUUUUAUGAACCUACUAUGAUAAACAGAUUUCUACAGUCACCUUUACGCCAGGUAGGUGUCGUAUUCUGGUCAUCCUUUUGCAUACGAGGAGACUGACGCACAGAGAUGUUACAAAAAACCCACAAAACUUCCCAAGGUCACAGCUAUGGAGUGACUGAAUCAGAGUUUCUAGUUGGGAUUUCUUUCCAGCAAGUCUGUUUUCUCCUUUUCUUCUUCUUCUUUUUGUAAAGUUUAUUUUGAAAUGGCGGGGGCGGGGGGGGGGGGGCAGAGAGAGAGGGAGAGAGAGAAUCUCAAGCAGGCAACGCACCGCCAGAGCAGAGCCCAACGUGGGGCUCGAACCCACGAACUGUAACAUCAUGACCUGAGCCGAAAUCACUGAGACACUUUUAACCGACUGAACCACCCAGGCGCCCCUGUUUUCUCCCUUUCUUUAGAGUAACUGUGCUCUCCACCUACCUCCCUGAUACCUUUUUCUCUCACAGAUUGCCGGUGAGAACCGGUCUGGGCAGGUGACCCACUUCCUUUUCUGAGACCUUUUUAAUUUCAUUAGGGUCCACGUCUGGGGGUAGUUGGGAGGCACGAAAGCAGGUAAUAUGUGAGACAGGACCCGUGGCGCUGUAGUUCAUAAGUUGUAAAGCUUAUGUGAAUGUCAGGAGCUACCAGCAAGGGCCUAGAUACAGAGUCAGACACCUGCCAAGACUGUUCAGCCAAGUCCCCUCUACUUCCCCAACCGAGGAAGGAACGCCAGAUUCCCAUGAGAGAGGAAGAAAUCAGCAGUUGUGAGGCAGACUCAGUAAACGGAGGCCUCUCCUGGGCAUGCCAUGGUUGCCUGCCUAGAGCUGAAAUGGGAAGGAAGGUUUGUUAUUAUAAGGUUUACUAAUCCUCAUGAUUUCCCCGAGGGAGGAUGCAUUCAUGCCACAGGCCUUCCAGAAUGUUCAUGCCCAUCUCUGAAAAUCUGAGGAAUCUUGUAAGCUGAGAAAAGGGAUGAAACACAGCUCUUCAGUGUCUCGAUUGAUGUGUUCGCCAGAGUAACCGCUUGGAGAUUAGCAGGAGGAAUGACAGGGUGCCAUCGAAUAACCCAGCUCCUCUGACCCCUUCCUUGUGACCGAUGGUGCACAUCUGCGCGACAGUGAAAAGACCCAGGCCAGACCCUCAAGGGGCCUCCAGUCCCUAGAAGCGACAGCCAAGCAAACAGGAAGUUAAUUCUGCAGGACGCAAUUAGGUCUCCUCCCUUGGGAACGUUCGAAGACCUAAUGGUAAAGAGGAACCAGCAUUUUGGUUCCUGCUGGUUUGGGCUCCGGGCUGAAUAGACUAUCUAUUGUGAAAGUGUAUUGUGCACAAGGAGAAUGGGGCUUUUUAUGAAGGGAAAUCAAGAGGGUGCCCGGUGGUAGGGUGGUAA